AAUGUAUUAAAUUUUGGUCUGUUCAUAAUACAAAGCAAUUGACGUCAGAAUUUUUUUAUGUUGCAUAUGAGCCAUAUAGAAUAUUUAUGGUUUUUAUGUGUCCUUUUUUGAAUCCUCAUUCAUUGUAACUGCAGGAAAAUAAUGACAUGGUUUGUGUUUCACAAAGUCAAACAGGAUUUGAAUGAAGAGGGUGAUGAAGUAAUGACUGCUUUUCCAUUUUGGAGUUAAUCCUUUAAGCAAAUUACUUCUCACUCCUCUAGUCUGAAUCUACUAGGGAAUUCUGGGAAAUGUAGUCUUUGCGAAGGGGAUUUGUUGGAAGUGAAUGCAUCGGUCUGGGGAGUUUGCAGUUGGCACGCUGUAAUUGCGGUGGUGGCAGUAGCGGUUUUAGGCACGGGCGAACCGGGCAGCCGCCCGGGGCGUCAUUUUUUCGUGACACAUUGGGGGCGGCGCCCCUGCUUGCUGAAAAUAUCCACUGAAGCUUUGUGUUGUGAGAGAAGUGUAAGGGAGUGGGGCGAGAGGCGCGUGCGACGUUUCACCUCUGGGUCUCUCUCAAAUGGAACGGACAGGGCGGGGGUGGACGGGGACGGGGGAUCCACACUAGUAAUAUAAUUAAUAAUAGACUAAAGUCAGUCACACACCUCGACUUUCUUCCAAAUAACGCACAUUUCAUUCAUAAUGUUAUAAUACAGGCCUAUAGUUCCUGCAAAUGAAACUAGGUAAUACAAAACGAUUAUGCGGUCAUCAAGGUGAAUUGGUUUAGUCUUGACUUCUGGUCCUGAGUGACAGUUGGGGGGAUGGGAAAUCUGUUGAUUGUCGAGUGCCAAAUAAACAGAGAUGGAGAAGAAAAGGUCAAAGCCAGGUGCCCAAUUUCGAAAAAAAAGAAAAGAAGAAGAGGAGAAACGAGCAAAAGAUAAAGGGGCACUUCUAAAAUAUUUUGGAGCAUCCUCUGCCACUGGUCAGGAUGAGCCAACCACCUCCUCCGCUACACACGUCUCCACAAAUAUCUGAUAUUGAGGAUGAAGACCUCUUUGCCUCUACUUCUACCCAGCAUGAGCUUUCAGAAAUGCCUGGAGCUGAACCCCCACUGAGCCCCACUGGCCCUCACAUCUGACUGACAGGAUUCGGACUGAGCUGCUUCACAGAGGACCAAGUAAAGUGCCACCUGGCUUUGUUUUCCGUAGGAAUGAGAGUAAUGGGAGAAGUUGCCACCACUAAUAUUUUAAGAAGACAUUAGUAAGUGGUGAAAAGAUGGCAAGAAGUUGGCUGAUUUAUUCAAUUAAGAACAACAGCCUCUUUUGCUUCUGCUGCAAAUUGUUUUCCAAGAGGAACAUCAAUUUAACAAGUGCAGGAAUGGCAAAUUGGAAACAUGCAUGCAAUGAUCUCACAUCAUAUGAAAACAGUUGUUAUAAUAAAAUAUUGCUGUUUGUGCAGAA